ensembl:lncRNA
UUUUAUUUUAUUUGGACAAAAAAACACCUAUGUGAUUAUGAGUGCAGACUCUGUCAUCAAAAGUUUUACCAGAUGAGAUAAUAAAAUGCAUAUUACAUUUUAAAUAUGUUAAAUAUGCAUAAAACUUGUUUUGUGUGUGUUAUGGCUCAAGAAUCUGUGAUCCACUAAACUCACCUUUUAAUUUGCAUGGUCUUUAAUGUUCCAGUGGCAUCUUAUGUUUAAGAUUUGAACAAUAUAUAUUAGAUUAACUGACUCCUGUGUGUCUAUUUGAAGUAUUCACACUGGGUAAUGUGGAUUCAGGUAAAAGCAUUCACUCUCCCUCUCUUAUUCUCUCUCUCAGCAGCCUGGGGACAUGAGGCCAUUAACCUCCUGCAGCCGACGCCUUCUAUCCUUAAUGAGGGGCUGCUAGUAUGACCCACUAUGUCGUUCAUAUUUCUCCUCUCCUCAGUCCAGCACUCUGAGGUGAUCUGUCGCUCCACUGAAGAGGGGGAUGGGAUGUAGAAACAAAUCUAAGAUGGCUGAUGAUAAAGUAUUGUGGUUUGAGAAGGUAGGCUGCAAGUGCCAGGACUUCAUUUGUGUCAGGCGCUCCAUGAUAGUAAUGAAUUUCUGUGGUGAACCUGAGACUGAGAGAAACAGAGUCUGUGCAAGCGGUACCAAUCUCUGCAAUCCCUUUCAGAUUUUAUCUGCACAGUCCUGUCAUUCUCUAUAGCAUCAUUGCCAUACCGUAUACUUGUGUCAUGCUUACAAAGUAUCAUUCUCAUUCAAGCUUUUUUCCAGCUUGGUCAAUGAUCAUCCACCCUGCCAAAUCACUCCAAACCCUCAUUUUAGACAAAGCAUGUGUGAUCGGAAGACUUUAAAAGGUCUAUAAGGGCAGAGACUAGCUCUUUUAUCCAUCUCAUAAAACCCUUUUGAUUCAUAAUGUCGAUGGAGCAUAUCUGGUUACUUAGGUGGAAUCGGAGCAGCAGAGGAGGCUUAAUUGCUCCCAGCGAGUGCAGCCAGAGGACUUGAUUAGACCCCGGACCACUUCUCAUGUUCUUCAUUUGUGCGGCGACGACCUUCCGCAGUCAUGGACUCAAGUAAGAGGUCACUC